rnacentral:tRNA from 1 species
GCCUGGGUGGCUCAGUCAGUAGAGUGUGAGACUCUUGAUCUUAGGAUUGUGAAUUCCAGCCCCACAUUGGGUA